rnacentral:tRNA from 1 species
AAUAAGGAAGCAAACAGCAAUUUAACUUCGACCUAAAUAAAGCCUAACGGCACUUAUUA